rnacentral:lncRNA from 10 species
GUAUUUUUAGUAGCGACGGGGUUUCACCGUGGUCUCCAUCUCCUGACCUCGUGAUCCGCCCGCCUCGGCCUCCCAAAGUGCUGGUAUUACAGGUGUCAGCCACCGCGCCUGACCAACAGUAAAAAAGGAUGAGGUGAACUGCCUUGGUCAGACUCUGAGAAAUACUCACAGUUCCUCCUUCCUCCUGGCCAAGUCCUUGAAGAAUCAAAGCAGCAAAUAAACAAGGUGGAACAAGAGUGAAAAUGAGAAUGCAUUUAUCUUCUCCACUGAACGACCCCAAGUCCUGUGUCAGGGCUGAGAUGUUUGAGUUGCUCCCAGUUUUAUGCUACCAUGAAUGAGUUAACACUGAUUGUAGCUGAGACAUCUGCUGCUGUGUUGCUCCUUCAAAGUUGGACCCUGACUGAAACACAACUAAAUUGUCUACCAAUUUUACAAGUGAAUAGACAAAUACAUAAUG